UUUCCGUAGGUGAACCUGCGGAAGGAUCAUUACAGAGUUCAUGCCCUCACGGGUAGAUCUCCCACCCUUGAAUAUUUAUACCUUAGUUGCUUUGGCAGGCCGUGGAAACACCAUGGGCUCCGGCUUAUGCGUGCCUGCCAGAGGAAACAAACUCUGUUUUUAGUGAUGUCUGAGUACUAUAUAAUAGUUAUAACUUUCAACAACGGAUCUCUUGGUUCUG
rnacentral:misc_RNA from 1 species